UGUUCUGUGGCUUAGUUGGUUAAGGCGCCGGUCUAGCGAAUAUGGAGCCGUGGGUUCAAAUCUCACCAGUACGC
rnacentral:tRNA from 1 species